rnacentral:tRNA from 1 species
AAAAAUUUAGUUAAUGCAUAACGUUAGUUUGUCAAGCUGGAAUCAUUGAAUUCAAUAAUUUUUA